rnacentral:lncRNA from 1 species
UUAUGUUUGGUAAACAUCCUUUAAUUGCCAUACCACCCAUACACACAUCCAAUGUGUCAAUUUUUAUUAUAUUUUAUUAAUUCAACAAAAUAAAAAAUAAAAAACAAAAUGCUGCAACUCUCCAUUCUCUCUCAUUGCCUUGUCGCUGCGGCUGCUCCUCCGGUCAUCCUCAGUCUAAACUAUUAGAAGAAGAUCUUCCUACUUCAACUUCACCAUCUUCAUCUUCUUUCUCCUUAUUCUUCUUCUCCACAGUCCAUGCUCUACUGUAAGAUGCCUUUGUAAUUGUUCGUCUAAACUCUUCAGAUCUAUUUGAUCUGCUCUCACAUAUCCACCACUCUCACUCUUCUUCAUUUCUUUAACUCAACACAAAAACAAAAAAAAACUUAUAUAUCACAAAAAUAAAUACAACCCAUUAUUUCUUUUGCUUCUAAAACUACUUUGAAGCGUUAAAAGUUUCAAACUUUGGAUUCAAGUUCUUGUUUUGAACAAAUUUUCAUUGGUGGGUCAGUUUGUGUUAUUUUGUUUUUUGUGUUGUGUUCUAUUUAGUAUGUGGUGAAGACAUAGAUAUUGCGAAAGCGGAGGGAAAACAGGAACAAUUGCGAAUGCGAGAGAGAAGAGAAACAGUUAUAGCGAGAGAGGGAGAGAGAAGGAAGGCAAGACAGAAUUCAGUUACAUUAGAGGUGUUAGUACGGCGGAGAUAAGAGGAUGGAGCGGCGGACGAUGACGGUGGAGGAGAGAACGCGUUGCAGAUGCUGAUUUUAUUUUAUUUUUGACAAGGUUUAUAUGGGUUUUGACAAAACUACCCUUCAUUAAAAUUAGAUGAAAUACCAAAAUUAUCCUGCCACAUGGGG